GGAAGGCAGCAGGCGCGCAAAUUACCCACUCCCGGAACGGGGAGGUAGUGACGAAAAAUAACAAUACGGGACUCUUUUGAGACCCCGUAAUUGGAAUGAGUACACUCUAAAUCCUUUAACGAGGAUCCAUUGGAGGGCAAGUCUGGUGCCAGCAGCUGCGGUAAUUCCAGCUCCAAUAGCGUAUAUUAAAGUUGUUGCGGUUAAAAAGCUCGUAGUUGGAUCUCAGCUCGAGACGGAGGGUCCGCCUACCGGUGGUUACUUUCUGUUCUCAGCAUUCCGCCGGUUUCUCUUGAUGAUCUUCACCGGUUGUCUUGGGUGACCGGCAAGUUUACUUUGAAAAAAUUAGGGUGCUCAAAGCGGGCGUGACGCCUGAAUAAUGGUGCAUGGAAUAAUGGAAUAGGACCUCGGUUCUAUUUUGUUGGUUUUCGGAACACGAGGUAAUGAUUAAGAGGGACAGACGGGGGCAUUCGUAUUGCGACGCUAGAGGUGAAAUUCUUGGACCGUCGCAAGACGAACUACUGCGAAAGCAUUUGCCAAGAAUGUUUCCAUUAAUCAAGAACGAAAGUUAGAGGUUCGAAGGCGAUCAGAUACCGCCCUAGUUCUAACCAUAAACGAUGCCAGCCAGCGAUCCGGCUGUGUUCCUCAAAUGACACGCCGGGCAGCUUCCGGGAAGCCAAAGCUUUUGGGUUCC
rnacentral:rRNA from 1 species